rnacentral:rRNA from 1 species
GACGUAGGAGGCGAGCGUUGUCCGGAGUUACUGGGCGUAAAGAGCGCGCAGGCGGUCGUUCAAGUCGCGUGUGAAAGCCCCCGGCUCAACUGGGGAGGGUCACGCGAUACUGAUCGACUCGAAGGCAGGAGAGGGAAGUGGAAUUCCCGGUGUAGUGGUGAAAUGCGUAGAUAUCGGGAAGAACACCUAUGGCGAAGGCAGCUCUCUGGGACGGUACUGACGCUGAGACGCGAAAGCGUGGGGAGCGAACAGG